rnacentral:rRNA from 1 species
UACGAAGGGUGCAAGCGUUACUCGGAAUUACUGGGCGUAAAGCGUGCGUAGGUGGUGAGUUAAGUCUGUCGUGAAAGCCCCGGGCUCAACCUGGGAAUGGCGAUGGAUACUGGCUCGCUAGAGUGCGGUAGAGGAGAGUGGAAUUCCCGGUGUAGCGGUGAAAUGCGUAGAUAUCGAGAGGAACACCAGAGGUGAAGACGGGUUGCUGGGCCGACACUGACGCUGAGGCGCGAAAGCCAGGGGAGCAAACGGG